rnacentral:lncRNA from 1 species
ACUUCCUUAGCUAGGAGCUAGCAAUGCUACGUGGAAUUGCAUGUCGAAAAUAUUUAAAAAGUCAACCUGCCAUCUCUCCUGCCCUGCUCGUCCAAGUUCCCACUCUAGUUCCAGUACUGGCAGGCUUCACCACUAUAUCCCAGCAGGGUCCUGCUUGGCAUGUUCUCCCAGGUAUCUUCUGAGAGGUUGUUCUCUCUCCACUUCUCAUUCAAGUCUGAAGAUGCUUACAGUCACCUGCAGUACUUCUAAAUCAGAUUUAUACCCCAUGGCAUAAAACAAAGCAACGUAGAAAAUCUCUGACUGCUCCAUAAUGCUGACUUCACAAAGUCCCCAGCCACCCACAGGAUCUCUCAAAGUUGUCAUCUGGAGGAUAGGGGAGCUUUGGGGAAAAAAUCAGAGCCCCUCAAUUACCAAUUCUGACAACUCUUAUUUUAGCUUGAAUCUCCCCAUGCAAAUAGACAGUUGACAUGUGAUUGGAGAAGAAAUAGAAAGUUUUGAGAUGGAAGAGGUCACAGCUCCAAUGAUCUCAGCCGAAGAAGAUGAGGAAGAAGACCAGCACAAGUGCUCUCCAAGGAAUGUCUUCCUGCCCGGUGUCCUGGACAACUGCCUGUCUUUAGAAUUAACAAAUGCUCUGACUUGCAGAGUCUCUCUCAAAUCAGCUUUUGCUGGUAUCAGGAUUUCUCUGGAGGACUCAACAAAGUCCUCUCCAUGCCUGAGAUUCCUACAAUGAUUGAAAUUCCAUUGUUUCUUCCCCGUGGCAUCCAGCCCACUGUACGCUGUGGCAUUUGGACAGGUUCUUGCCUCGAGUUCCUGCUCUGCCUUCAUUUCACUAUACCUAGAAGCUGAAAUAAACUAUUUCCUCCACAAGU